AUGGUUUCGGGCUCUUCUUGCGCAGCUUAGGUGGAAGACUGAGAUCAUGCCCUUCCGGGGGUAUGUGAGUCAUCAGUGAGAUACCACUCUGGGAGAGCUAGAAAUCUAAUGGUGAUCCUUGAAUCAGGACACUUGACAGUUUCAGGUGGGCAGUUUUACUGGGGCGGUAGCCUCCCAAAAUGUAACGGAGGCGUACAAAGGUUCCCUCAGGCUGGACGGAAAUCAGUCGUAGAGUAUAAAGGCAGAAGGGAGCUUGACUGCAAGACCUACAAGUCGAGCAGGGACGAAAGUCGGUCUUAGUGAUCCGACGGUGCCGUGUGGAAGGGCCGUCGCUCAACGGAUAAAAGUUACUCUAGGGAUAACAGGCUGAA
rnacentral:rRNA from 1 species